rnacentral:rRNA from 1 species
GACGAACGCUGGCGGCGUGCCUAAUACAUGCAAGUAGAACGCACAGUUUAUACCGUAGCUUGCUACACCAUAAACUGUGAGUUGCGAACGGGUGAGUAACGCGUAGGUAACCUGCCUGGUAGCGGGGGAUAACUAUUGGAAACGAUAGCUAAUACCGCAUAAUAUUAAUUAUUGCAUGAUAAUUGAUUGAAAGAUGCAAUUGCAUCACUACCAGAUGGACCUGCGUUGUAUUAGCUAGUAGGUGAGGUAACGGCUCACCUAGGCGACGAUACAUAGCCGACCUGAGAGGGUGAUCGGCCACACUGGGACUGAGACACGGCCCAGACUCCUACGGGAGGCAGCAGUAGGGAAUCUUCGGCAAUGGACGAAAGUCUGACCGAGCAACGCCGCGUGAGGGAAGAAGGGUUUCGGAUCGUAAAGCUCUGUUGUAAGAGAAGAACGGGUGUGAGAGUGGAAAGUUCACACUGUGACGGUAUCUUACCAGAAAGGGACGGCUAACUACGUG